rnacentral:rRNA from 1 species
UACAGAGGGUGCAAGCGUUAAUCGGAAUUACUGGGCGUAAAGCGCGCGUAGGUGGUUUGUUAAGUUGAAUGUGAAAUCCCCGGGCUCAACCUGGGAACUGCAUGCAAAACUGGCAAGCUAGAGUAUGGUAGAGGGUGGUGGAAUUUCCUGUGUAGCGGUGAAAUGCGUAGAUAUGUGGAGGAACACCGGUGGCGAAGGCGGCGAUCUGGGUCGAUACUGACGCUGAGGUGCGAAAGCGUGGGGAGCAAACAGG